rnacentral:rRNA from 1 species
UACAGAGGGGGCAAGCGUUGUUCGGAAUUACUGAGCGUAAAGGGCGCGUAGGCGGCCCGCUAAGUCGAACGUGAAAUCCCCGGGCUCAACCCGGGAACUGCGUCCGAUACUGGCGGGCUUGAAUCCGGGAGAGGGAUGCGGAAUUCCAGGUGUAGCGGUGAAAUGCGUAGAUAUCUGGAGGAACACCGGUGGCGAAGGCGGCAUCCUGGACCGGCAUUGACGCUGAGGCGCGAAAGCUAGGGGGAGCAAACGGGG